CAAGAACUCCUCACCUUGUUCUUGGGGUGACUCGAACUCACAACCUCUUGGUUGGAAGUGGAGGGUGCUUACCACUAGAACAACUCACUCUUGUCAGGUUAAUAGAAAGGAAAAAUAUAUUUAAAGAGAAAAGUAAUAAAUUGCACAAGACAAGAUUUACGUGGUUCGGUAAUUUUUGCCUACUCCACGGUCACACAGAGAAUAGCUUUAUUGAUAUUGAGAGAGAAAGAAGAAUUUGUGUGAUGAUCUACAACUGAAGAAGAGAAUGUCUAUUUAUAGGCAGGGCGUGUGCUGGAAAAAAAAGUUUUAAGCGAAUGUGAAUACGCAAAUGGCACCGCAAACUACGAGCCGAAUUUUUUCUUUUAUAUUUGCAGCCCACCAACUUUGACUUUUCCUUUCUUCUCUCGUUUUCAUUCUUGUUUUUUCACUUUGACUUGUUUUUGUCUUCUUUCUUUUACGGUAAAUAGGGUUUGUUCCUAUCAGGGUUUAUGGGAAGCAUUUUGGGAUUAGGACAAACCUAUGCCUUUCUAUGUUUCUAGUAUCUACAAUUCAAGCUUGAGAUUCUACCAAGCCGAGAAAUCCAUUGCUAAAGGGAGACUUGAAGGUCUUUGUGCUACAACUGUAAUGCUAAAGAACCCAAAGCAUCCACAAGGGAAGUGGGAUGAUAUUCUGGAACUUGCUAUUCUAAGGCCUGAUAUUGGAACCCGUGCUACAAUAGAGAAUGACAGUAAGCCUUCUCUCUCAGUUUUAGGUGAACCUUUAUUCUUUACUCUACGUGUAUUGUUUGCGAGAAGCCUCAGCAAAUACAAUAUUCCUCUCAGUUCGAAUUCUGUUUUUGUUCUUUUAGUUGACUCUCAAUACGGUAGUACAACAACAACAACAUACCCAGUAUUAUCCCACACCGUGGGGAGACUCUCAAUACGGUGGGGUCAUGAAAGUUGAAGGAGAUAUAACCAAGUUGGAAAUGGAUGUGUUAGAUACUACCAAGUUGCAACGCACUAUAACUACAAUUAAUUUUUUUAAUACUAUCUAUCUUUCUAAUUACCAGGUCACUAAAUAGAAUCUAAGUUUUUGUUGAAAUCAUUAGAUCUAACAUUUAAUUUAUAAGUUUUAUUUGAUGACUGAAACAAAUUUUAUUAUAUAAGUGUGUGUCUGCGUGUGUGUAUGUGCAUGCGGUUAAAUUCUUUCUGUUAGAUAUAUGUGCGACUCACUAUAACUACAAUUAAUUCAACUUUUAGGACUUUAAGACUUAACUGAACAAAGUUAAAUAAACCUAAACCACAAAACAAGAACUUUUAAAAACUUUAAGAUAGAACUUUGACAUUGAUAGAUAGAAGCAGCAUAACGGAAUAAGAACAUACCCUAAACUCCAAAGACAAGUAACACUCACAGUACAACAACAUUCACCAGGAUUACAAACACCCAGACACCAAAAAACAAGAAACUAGUAGAACAACAAUGUGAACGUAGAUAGGGCCUACACAAAAAUCACCAAAGCCCUAAAACCACCACAACCCCUAGUUGUUGUUCACGCUAGAAUCUGCGUAGUGUGAACUUUCAAAAAUAAUUUUUUAACACAACUUUAAAAACUCUUUUUCAAGUUUCAACCAAAUCUAUAUCCAAACGCUAGUUUAUUUUCCUUUCUUCCUCAUCACGAGCCACUCCCUUUUAAUCCAAACCAAUAAAUAGCAAAUAUACAAAAUCGACAACUUCACUUCACAGUUGGUUUUGACGAUUUAUCGAACACCCUCUUAUCCCAAAGUUGGAGUAAUCUCUUUAGGAGAAGGGACAAAUUUGUUCAUAUAUUAUUCAAAAUUGUUCAGUUUUUUGCUUUUCUUUCAAAUUUUUGGUCUAAUUUUACUGUGUUGUUAGGAAACAGUAUUAUGUUUGCCUUUGACCCCAAAUGAAACUCCAACUUGAGGGUAAUACUAUAAUCAAAAGUUGAGUAGUAAAUUUGAAUUUGGAUACAGAGUUCAUUUUGUUUAUGCUGGAGCAGUGUUAAUAACAAUAGCAAUUGAAAAGCAAUUGGGUGAUAGCAGGUCGAAUGGAAAUGGUUUAUUUCGCUUUGAGCAACAUAGUGCUUCACCUGAAAUUGUAGAAGUGCGCGAAGAAUCCGUCACGUUGGUAUCUGAAAAGUCCAUAAACUGGAAGAAGGCUUUGUUUCUGUAUGUAGGUUCACAUCCUUCUCAGCUGGAACCAGCAUAGAUAUGAAGCUAUGGUAUCAAGUUCAGAGGCAAACUAAGAUAUUAAGUAUUAUGAAACAAAUGGGGUUAUCUAGCAAAUAUCUGCCUCAUUUAAGUGCAUCCCCUGGCCAGUGCAAGAGACUCAUAUCCUAGUGACUAGUUCAGUGGGCAGAACAGUUGCCGAUAUGGUGAGAGUUGGCCAAUUUGGUAAAGAUGAGGCUGUUAGGUAUUGUCCUUGUUAUUUUAUUUUACAAGAGAGGGAUCAUCCUGCAAUGAAUCUCCAUUUAUCCUCUACGUAUGCCCUUCAACAAGGGAACUUGUGUUCGGCUUCUGAUGCUGAGAGUCUGGUUUACAUGCUUUACUUUUCGUCUGGCGCUGAUAUUUCUUGAAUUCAGUUGAAGGGGCAUUGCAAUGGAGGGAAACUUCUUGGUCAAGAAGGCUACUCCACCAGAAGCUUGGAGAUAUGCAGUAUUGAAAGCAUUUGCAGCAGAUUACGUUGACAGCCUUUGUGGAACGCCCUAUCCUGUGGACUAUGAUAUCUGGCUUAGAAGGUUAGAGAGACAUAUUCGUGAAGAAGAUAUUGAUACAUCAAGUUAGAAUUUUUUUUCUUCAGCGCUGAGCCUCCCUGAAUUUCGGUAACCAUUAUUUUGUGGCUGUGGGUCAGCCUUUCAGGAGGUUUCUUCUAUGAAUUACUUUGGGUCCUCAACGGUGGAGCUAGAAACUUUGUAUUGCCAGUUUCCAACUUGAGGAGUAAAUCAACCUACAUCUUGCUGAUUAUAUUUUCUGUUUAAUUAUUAAGCUGAUCCUAGUUUCAUUUUUUCACGGGCUCCGAAAUGCUCAAAAGAAUUCUUGGAUGAAAGAGUACCAUAUUAGAUGCCUGGAGCCUCUAUUGCUUGUUCAGUUGUUUGUGCAGUUCGUUGGAACGAAGACCGUUGGAGUUAUCAGCAUUGAGUUGUUACAUACAUGUAUUUUGUUUUUACAAAUGUGAUUAUUGUAAGGAUAGGAAUUAGUGAGAUUGCACUCAACUGUGUGAUUGUUUGUUUGCUUACGGAUAUGGCCUUGUAGUUGUAGGACACUGCUCAAGAAACCAUUCUAUAUCUGUAAAUGGAAUAUAUCUUUCUAUCACUUUAUGAAACUCCGUGGUUUAGUUGAAAUA